UGAACACAGAUUCUAAAUCUUCUAAGGUAUC
rnacentral:piRNA from 1 species